rnacentral:rRNA from 1 species
GACGAACGCUGGCGGCGUGCUUAACACAUGCAAGUCGAACGGAAAGGCCCUGCUUGCAGGGUGCUCGAGUGGCGAACGGGUGAGUAACACGUGGGUGAUCUGCCCCUUAUUUUGGGAUAAGCCUGGGAAACUGGGUCUAAUACUGGAUAGGACCAUGCUGUAGGUGGUGUGGUGGAAAGAUUAGUUUCGGUAAGGGAUGAGCUCGCGGCCUAUCAGCUUGUUGGUGGGGUAAUGGCCUACCAAGGCGUCGACGGGUAGCCGGCCUGAGAGGGUGGACGGCCACAUUGGGACUGAGAUACGGCCCAGACUCCUACGGGAGGCAGCAGAGGAGAAUAUUGCACAAUGGGCGCAAGCCUGAUGCAGCGACGCCGCGUGGGGGAUGACGGCCUUCGGGUUGUAAACUCCUUUCAGCCAUGACGAAGCCCUUGUGGUGACGGUAGUGGUAGAAGAAGCACCGGCUAACUACGUG